GCAUAUGUAAGCACACUUGUAGAAGACUCGAUACCUUUGCAAGCAGCAACUAUAUUUACAUUAUCACUGCAGAUGACGACAUUCUUCCAUCCCAUAUCAAUACCCAAAGACAAACCACUCUUUAUAGCUAGUGCUUCAGUAUGUUCAGGGUCCCGGCCAUUUACUCUCUCUCCUCCUGCAAGAACAAAAUUGUCAGGCCAUGAGAACAGUACAUAACCUACAUAGCUUUCAUGUAAAUCUUGCAAGUUCCAACCAAACGAACCAUCCGUAAUAAUAACAAGAAAAUCCUGUCUAACAGAAGGCGGGAUAGAAAAUUCAGUACGAAGAGAUUCUUUUGAGUUGGUGUUUACACGUAACAGAAACCGGUUUGCUUGACAUGAGAGAUGACUCGGAUUCAGAUUGUAUUCAGAGUCAUUAAAUACUAAGUGAUUUCGAUUCAUCCAAAUAAAAUAACAAAUACAAGCUAAGAGACUAAUCUGAUCUACACAUUUCUUUCCAAUAGAAGUAGUCAUAUGAGUAAGAACAUCACAUAUGUCAGAGUAGUCUUGCCAGUACUCUGGUCUGAGACUUAAAUUGGAAGCAAACCAUAUGCACUGAAUAUCCUUACAAGUAAAAAGAGUAUGCAAGGCAGUUUCCGAGUGUGUAUGACAACAAGGACAUAGAUCAUCAGAAUAAAUAUUUUUACGAAACAAUAAAGAUCUAGUAGGAAUGGCAUUAUGCAAUAACUUCCAAACAAAAAGUUUUAUUCUGGUCAUCAUCGGAUUGUUGAUUGUGCUAGUACUUCUUCCUCUAGUCCUCUCCUAUGUUCAAACAGAGAAACUUCAGUAUGAUGACCAGAAAUUGAAGAAUAAAGCUCUUCCCGCUCAUUAACUUCCGCUCUCUUCAAUCAUACAUCACACGGAUUUUUCUUCUUCAUCGUGACUCAGAUGUAAUGAGAUCAUCAUAUUCUUCCCUCUUUAUCAAAUAUCAAUCAAAACUUACCAUGAACCAAAUGUACAUCAAAGAUCUGACACUGAAAACUUACGAUCAAACAAGGAUUUCAAAAUCAUACCCCAUGUUACACUAUCAACCAAUGACUCCAAUUCUGGUGUUUUAGUGCUCCAGAUCACAAUAGAACAUUGAUCUUUCAAUUAUUUCUAUUUUUCUAUGUCCCACCUUUUUAUUGCUUGAAAAACAUGUUGGAACAAGAAGGGUUGCAGAUUUGAUGUAGUCAAGUUUCAGAGAAACGAUUUUAAAUUAUAAACCUGACACACUGGUCUUUAAGUGGUUUUGGGAAAAACUACACCUCAAUUUCAGAAAACAAUAUUCCUGAAACUGAAAACCAAAGCAUAAAAUGCAUACAUUGUUAGUUUGUUGACUCCAAUUUGCAUUUUAGAACUUUUGAGAGAGAAAGAUCUUGUUCAUCCAAAUCCCGAGCUCUCUAUUUCCGGUACAUGUUCCUUGAGUCUUUCACUUCUAUUGUUCAAUUUAGGUCUGUUUUUUUUUUUUUUUUUUUUUUAUUUGAAAUUUUAAUUUAUUCAUUAACACAAAGUUAUAACAACGGCUAUAUUAAGAAGGACACUAACAGCAAUUAGGAAGGAACUAACGUGACUCGAGUCCCCUAACUACCCAGUUCAAUCACCAUUUACCAGGCACAUGUGCAGAGGCUAGAGGCCUGAUUCGUUCAUGUGAGAUAAUCUGUCCCUAAUCUCCCAAAGCUUCUCUCUCACUUUGAAGCCUUACAAACUCUUCAUCGUCCUCUUCGUCUUCCCAGAUAUCAUCAAAGAAAUUUGGCUCAUCUCUCUCAAAAACUCCUCCAUCAAUGCCCUUCUAUCCCGCUUCUGCUUAUCAUGCAUAAUUUCAAAUCAAUCAAUCUUCUUGUGCAUCCUUCAACUCUGACUCCCCUUUCUUGCCCCAUCUCGAUUAUUUCUUCCCUGAUCUUAGUCUUGCUCUAACCUCCACUUUUAUUGAGACCUUCCUGACAUGCACUCAAGCUACCUGAGCAUUGCCCCACUACUGCAGCCUUGCCUUUCACUUGAUCACCUUGUUGUAAUGUCUAAUUUCAUCAAAACCAGGAUAGGAAACUUUUAAUUUAACCGAGUUACCACUAAGCAAUUAAAUGUUCUUCUUGUUUCUCUCCAAUUUCAUUGGUCUCCCGUCGUUAAAAUAGAUCUGUCAACUGUCGCUGAGUCCAGCAUAGCUCUAAAUGAACAUUUCAAAAAGGCAUCGGCCCCAUACUAAAAUUUACUGGGGAUCCAUUUCUACUAGAUCUCGCCUAAACUCUUGUUCUUUGUAAGGUGUACAGCUCUGAUGAGUAUUUUUGCCAUACAGACAAUGUUGAGUUCUGUCCUUGGUGUUCCUAAACGAAGCUAGUAAGGUACUGUGUUAAUAACACGCAGGCCCGUUUUCCUCCAAAGGUAUAUAAACUGAAUUUUGGUUUGUUUUGCAUUCUUGUGUGGUACACAUAUGGCUCUGGGUGAACAAUGAAGAAAAAGUUUAAGGGCGUAGCUGCAGAGUGUCAGAAAGUUUUUCUGUUCAUCAAUAAUAUUUUCUAUUUACAGUAUGAAAGAAAGGUUGUAAGAAGAACAUGUGAAGCAAUCAAAUAUGUUUACUAAAAAGAGGUAUACACAGUAAAAUAAAUUACAACAUCCAUGUUAUUCAAAAUACUAUGUUUGAUACUUAACUUUAAGGAAUUGAAAGCAGUUAGAUACUCACCAGUAGGGACUUGGUAAAAAAAAUUUAUCCACCUUCAUAGUUGCAAGACUUCGGGAAAAAGGAUAGACCAGAACCUCGCCCGAAGUUAUAGAUGUGUCAUUUGAUGCCCUGUAAACACACUCAAGCUUCUUGUUGUCUGGGUGGUAGCAAAAAAUCCCUAGAUUGUGUCCAAGGAAAACAAUAUCUGAAUUUGGAUGAAAGGCAUAGAGAGCUAACGACAACGGAUCACCAAAAAUACCAGAGGUUGGAUGUUCUGCAAAGUCUAAAAGAGAAAUUUUAUGUUUCAAGACCCACUCACUUCCAUUAAGCAUCCAAAUGAGAUUUUGGUAUGUUUUACAAUCAUUGAAGGCAUAAUGAAUACGACCCUUGGACACCCCGAUACAGCCAAUAGGGUUCCUUAUUUGAGCAACUUCUGGAAGCCGUAUUCCUUGAGCACUCACUUGUUUAAUAUCAAACUUCAGAAUAUAACCCGAUAAUGACAAACAAUAAAGAGACCCAUCUAAGAAAACAUACCGCAAUGACACAGGUCCUGCAAGCAUAGAAUCUUCCAAGUGUAACCCAUCUCUAUAUUCCGUCCAUUUCCAAGUCCCUUGAGAAUAGAUAAACAUUCUUAACGGUUUGUAUAAGAUAUAAACCACACCAAUGCGUGAGCCAAAAACCAAUGCGGCAGCACGUGGUCUUCUAUCGUCUGGUGAUGAAGGAAGAUCAACACAUUGCUCUGUUGAUGGAUUGACGACAAAAAAUCGGUGAAAUGAACGAUCCCAUAUAAGUAAGAACCCAUUUGCGCUAUCAAAGAAAUCUUCGGGAAGAGGGGUAAAAGGUAAGCUACGGAAACAAGAUUGGAGAAAGGACGAACUAUCGUUUGUCCCAGCUAAACAAACAAAAUUCAAGGCGGAUGUUGGACUUGUUCUUCUUUUAGUUGUGACAAAGAAUCCAGAAAGCGGACAUAAAACUUGUGGAAUACAGACAUCAGCAAUCAGUCUGUACCAUGAUUUUGAAACAGAUGUGCAUCUAAUCAUAUCCUUUGGGGGCAACCUACACAUGACCUCUGCCCAACCAUCAUCUGGUAAUAUGCAAUGACAUACACAGGUUCUAGGACUACAAGUAAUACUAGCAAUUUUGUUAUUAAUACUACUAGUAUUACAAGAAGCAGUUGGGCCAAUAAUAGUUGCUUUUGAAGGGUGGUGUUGGUCUAGAAUAGAUCUUACUCUUCCAUCGAAAACGAAUACCAACUUUUUAGUGAACCAAGAGAAGAAGCAUGUGAAUAAUACUAGGGAUGACAAUAACACAACGCUGAUUGAGGGGCAAAUUCCGAUGCUUACGGGAAAAGGAAUCAGAAUGGUCACACGGAUCAUUCUGCUACAACUGCAGGAGAAGACUAAUGUGUUGAUUUGAUCAAUCUAUAUCACUCAAAAGAAGGGAAGCUCCUUAUACCACACUGAAGAUCAAUGUUAACUUAAAAAUGUGCAGCAAAGAGCAGGCGCCACCAAUGGUGCAGUAAUUCUGCAAACAUAGACUUCAUCUUUUCAUACAAACACACACGCCCAGAUUAAGGGUUAGGCAAAUAAUUCAACUCAUAUCACAUAUCAGUGAAAUUGACAAAUUUUUAAUUAUCUUAAGUAUAGAGAGACAACCCAACAAAGCUAAUUAUGGACUUAUGACGUAGCGGAAGCGAUUAAAAAUCAAACCUUGAGUAACCCAAGGGGAGGUUUGCCUUGAAACAAGGAAGAACUAAAACAAAACUAAAGAAAAAUAAAUUGUAGAGACAAAUCUUAAUUGUAUUGAGUGAAUAAUUGAAUUGGUUGAAUAAUUGUUCUACAAAGCAUGACUCUUUAUAUAGACUAAAGACUUAGACCAACUAGCACUAGGACUUCCUAAACAAAUAAAUCAAAAUACAAAUCCUACUUUGAAUUGUAUUACUAAUAUCAAUUUAAUAGUAAACCAACUAUUCUAGAACUUCUAGACUCUAAAAUAGAAAUCUUAAACUUAUAAUGACUUCUAAAUAAACAUUAACCCAAAUAGGAAACCAAUUGGUGUAGGUAGGAUGUCCUACAUCAACUUAUCACCCAAAAAAACAAAAAAAAAAACCUUCUUUUCAUACAAACAUACCAAAAGGCAAAAACCAUGAAUUCGAUAAUAUCAGAAUCGAUUAAACAUCACGCAUUAGUAGAUUUCACCACAAAAAAAAAAUCAAAAUUUUCCUAUAUGUCAGCUAAUUACAAACUCAUAAAACAUAAAAUCAAAAUCAAUUGAUGAAACUAACCUCAACAAGGAUAACAGGAUGAUGGUGGAAGCAGUUUUCCGAUAAUUAAAGUUUUUGUUUUACAUGAAAGAUCACUAUUCAUAAACCAAUAACUACACCAAAAGUAAACAACUACACAAGUUACUUUCGAAAUCCUCUGAAGAAGAUCAAAGAAGAGAAAAAUGCAGACAACCAAAGAAACUGUUUCAAACAUAGCUGCUUCAGCCAAAUCUGGCAUGGAUAAGACCAAAGCCACUGCUCAAGAGAAGGUGGAAAGAAUGACUGCACAUGAUCCAUUGGAGAAAGGAAUGGCUACACAAUGCAAGGAAGAUAAGAUCAAUCAAGCAGAAAUCAACAAACAACUAACAGACCCGUCAGCACAAUGCUGCAGCACAUAAUAUGGGUGGUGCAACUGGUGGAACUGUAGGUGGGCUUCAUGGUACUACAACUGGACAUUCAACUGGAACGAAUCAAAUGUCUGCAGUACCUGGACAUGGAACUGGUGCACCAGCUGGUGGGCAUGUCACUGAAGGUACAGUUGGAACACAUCCAACUGGAACUAAUACCGGAGUUAAUAGCAGGACUGGUGGUGCUUGUAGCUGAAGAUUUGGUUGAAAUGUUUUCAAUAAAAAAAAUGAGUUAUUAGCUAGAGACCUAGGGUCAAUUUCUUACUGCAAAGUGCAAAGUACUUUAGUUUGUUGAAUUUGUAAUUUUUAUUUUUAUUUGGUGGGAAGUAUUGUAUGCCUACACUGGUGGGUGUUGUUGAGGCAUGUAGCUUCAAUUUGUUGCAUAUUUUAUAUGAUUGAAUAAAUUGUCUAGAAUGGUUGUUAAAAAAAUAACUACACCAAUCUAUAUCUAGAAAUUCGUCCUACAUGUCGUCUACCGACUAAACAUAGGUACUAAAGAUCAAUGAUUGACAACAGAGAAAGUCUACAGUUGAUUAAAUGAAAAAAAUCAAUGAAUCAUUACUUACAAAUUACAACAAAGAAAGUCUACAGUUGAUUUGUUUUUAAGAACAGAGAAAGUCUACAGUUGGUUUGUUUAAAUCAAUGAAUCAAUGAAAAAACGAGUAGAGAGAAGCAGGCCGGUGAAACUUACCACGUAUUUACAGCAAGUUCUUCGUCUUCGCCUCCUUCAAUCUUUGGUGAGAACAAGAAAGUAAUAGAGAAAGAGUAGGGUUUUAU
rnacentral:lncRNA from 1 species